GACAGACCGUCAGAGGAGGGUCAAACAGAAGUAUGACAGCCACAAUCGUUGGCUCAACAAGCCAGUACAAGUAAGAUCAUCCACUUUUUGAUCCCUAUUCAUGCACUUCUAUCCAUUCUUCUUGCAUGCUGUUUUGCAAGAAUAGACAUACCAAGCGCAUCAACUAUCAUUCUGCUUUGUUCUCACUCUGUUUUUCAAGAAUGGACAUACCAAGCGCAUCAACUUGCAUGCUUUAAUU
rnacentral:lncRNA from 1 species